CCUUGAUGUUUACUCAGUGGUGAGGUAGCAGAUGAGGUGAUAAAAAGGAAAUUGUGGUUGAUCUUACCAAUUUUCCAGGCGGGUCUGAAGUGAUUGAGAGCUGCACCGCUAAGCAGACUUAAAAGGAAUUGAGCAAACACUGACACCAUGAACCCUUCUCAGGAAAUAAUGGGGCCUUUUGGUCCACUGGCCAUUUGCUAUAAAAACGCCACAAGCAGGGCUUUACGCCGGAAACGAGAGUUCAUCCCGGAAGAAAAAAAAGACACCGUCUACUGGGAGAAGAGGCAAAAGAACAACGAGUCUGCAAAACGUUCCCGGGAAAAGAGGCAGUUCAGCUAUUUUGCAAUUGAGAGCCAGAUGGCUGCCCUCCAGGAGGAGAAUUUUCACCUCCGUUGGGAGCUCCAACACCUAAAAGCCCGUUGUGGUCUCCUUAAUCAUAUUGCAGAACAACCAAAUGCCAGUGUUAACUCUCUGUUCUGCACACAAGGUAACUGCUGGUCAAGGGCCCAAGGCACCAUUCCUUCAGCAGAAAGGUUGUUGGAUUAUAUGUGGAUCCCAAGGGAACAUCUUGAUUCCAACCCAAAGCAUAUGGCCUUCCUCAAGCAGUACAACAUGGUUCUUUCACAAGGAAAGAAUAACCCUACUUUUUCCAGUUCUGCCUUCCUUCCAACUUACUUCAACUGCCAACUUAUACAGAGAUAUUCCCACCAUUUCCCAAUAUAUGACAGAUCUCACUUUCCAAUCAAGUUGCCAAAUACAGGUGAGGUAGGGAAGGAAGGUCCUCAAAACAAUGACAGUGAGAAGGAAACAAUGUCAGAUGUUUCAGAAUAUCCAAUGAUGCCCCCAAAUUAUUCUGCUCUGCCUCAUAAACUUAGGAUUAAAACAAAAAAACAUCAACUUCUGUGAUAAGAAUGUCAGUAGACAUAAUUUGGCUGAAAAUAAUAAACUAAAAAGAGAAAUAUUUGGAUUGCAAUCAAAUUGGACUUCUCACAUCUUUCUAAUAUAGGAAGACUUUUGUUUUUAGCUUCAUGAAA